UACGAAGGGGGCUAGCGUUGCUCGGAAUUACUGGGCGUAAAGGGAGCGUAGGCGGCCAGUUUAGUCAGAGGUGAAAGCCCAGGGCUCAACCCUGGAAUUGCCUUUGAUACUGAUUGUCUUGAGUGCGGGAGAGGUGUGUGGAACUCCGAGUGUAGAGGUGAAAUUCGUAGAUAUUCGGAAGAACACCAGUGGCGAAGGCGACACACUGGCCCGUUACUGACGCUGAGGCUCGAAAGCGUGGGGAGCAAACAGG
rnacentral:rRNA from 1 species